GCGGCCCUGCAGGGAAGGGGGUCCUGCAGGUUGAUAGGAAAGGGCCCUGGACAGUAACACGAAGCCUUCUAAAGAAAUAAUCUCCAAUAAAACCACGAAGGUUUGCGUUAAGGGCUGCUGUAGAGGAUAAACGUGAUCAGAACUGCAUUUUGGAACAACCACUGCAGAAGCAGAGAACAUGGGGCAGAUGAGAGAAAGCAUACAGCGAGGAGGCCAGGGACGAUCUGCUCUGAGAGUCUAGGUCCAACCUCCUUCCUCAAGCCCGCUAUCCCUCACCAAUGCCUGCAUUUUACACCUGAGCAAACCACAGCCCCCAGAGGUGAAGAGAAAGAGCUGAGGGACUAACCAUCUACCUCCAGACUCCAACACUCCAAGCCACCUCUAUGUUGCUACUCUGCUGAUGAUGGCAAUCAAGACAAAGAUAGCUUCCCUCUGCCACUGCCGAGCCAGUGAGAACAGUACCUCUCACCUCCGUGCCUCCCCCAAGUGCCAGGAGCCAUGUAGGGAAGGUCACAGGUUCCAUCUCAGGACCAUGAGACUAAGAGCCACGCUCUCUACCAACGGAGGAGCGAGCGCACCGAGUGUCAGUCCUCACUGACAGCAGCGAUCUUCUACUGGAAGUGACAUCAAAAAAAGACAGUAAACCUGCC